rnacentral:rRNA from 1 species
UGGGGAAUUUUGGACAAUGGGCGCAAGCCUGAUCCAGCCAUGCCGCGUGCGGGAAGAAGGCCUUCGGGUUGUAAACCGCUUUUGUCAGGGAAGAAAUCUUCUGAGUUAAUACCUCGGGAGGAUGACGGUACCUGAAGAAUAAGCACCGGCUAACUACGUGCCAGCAGCCGCGGUAAUACGUAGGGUGCAAGCGUUAAUCGGAAUUACUGGGCGUAAAGCGUGCGCAGGCGGUUUUGUAAGACAGAGGUGAAAUCCCCGGGCUCAACCUGGGGACUGCCUUUGUGACUGCAAGGCUUGAGUGCGGCAGAGGGGGAUGGAAUUCCGCGUGUAGCAGUGAAAUGCGUAGAUAUGCGGAGGAACACCGAUGGCGAAGGCAAUCCCCUGGGCCUGCACUGACGCUCAUGCACGAAAGCGUGGGGAGCAAACAGGAUUAGAUACCCUGGUAGUCCACGCCCUAAACGAUGUCAACUGGUUGUUGGGAAGGUUCCUUCUCAGUAACGUAGCUAACGCGUGAAGUUGACCGCCUGGGGAGUACGGCCGCAAGGUUGAAACUUAAAUGAAUUGACGGGGUCAUAGC